rnacentral:rRNA from 1 species
UACGGAGGGUGCAAGCGUUAUCCGGAUUUACUGGGUUUAAAGGGUGUGUAGGCGGAUUUUUAAGUCAGAGGUGAAAUCUCCAGGCUCAACCUGGAAACUGCCCCUGAUACUAUUAGUCUUGAAUAUUGAUGAGGUGGGCGGAACGGGUCAUGUAGCGGUGAAAUGCUUAGAGAUGACCCGGAACACCAAUUGCGAAGGCAGCUUACUAUGGUUUGAUUGACACUGAGGCACGAAAGCGUGGGGAUCAAACAGG